rnacentral:rRNA from 1 species
ACCAGACUCCUACGGGAGGCAGCAGUGGGGAAUAUUGCACAAUGGGCGCAAGCCUGAUGCAGCCAUGCCGCGUGUAUGAAGAAGGCCUUCGGGUUGUAAAGUACUUUCAGUCGGGAGGAAGGUGGUAAGGUUAAUAACCUUAUCAAUUGACGUUACCGACAGAAGAAGCACCGGCUAACUCCGUGCCAGCAGCCGCGGUAAUACGGAGGGUGCAAGCGUUAAUCGGAAUUACUGGGCGUAAAGCGCACGCAGGCGGUCUGUCAAGUCGGAUGUGAAAUCCCCGGACUCAACCUGGGAACUGCAUUCGAAACUGGCAGGCUUGAGUCUCGUAGAGGGGGGUAGAAUUCCAGGUGUAGCGGUGAAAUGCGUAGAGAUCUGGAGGAAUACCGGUGGCGAAGGCGGCCCCCUGGACGAAGACUGACGCUCAGGUGCGAAAGCGUGGGAAGCAAACAGGAUUAGAUACCCCGGUAU